rnacentral:rRNA from 1 species
CAAUAGCGUAUAUUAAAGUUGUUGCAGUUAAGAAGCUCGUAGUUGGAUUUCUGGUGGGGGCGAUCGGUCUGGCGCUUAGCGCGAGUACUUGCAUCGUCUCCGGCCAUCCUUGGGGAGAGUCUGUCUGGCAUUAAGUUGUCGGGCAGAGGAUCCUCAUCGUUUACUGUGAAAAAAUUAGAGUGUUCAAAGCAGGCUUAUGCCGUUGAAUAUAUUAGCAUGGAAUAAUAAGAUAGGACUUUGGUACUAUUUUGUUGGUUUGCGCACCAAAGUAAUGAUUAAUAGGGACAGUUGGGGGUAUUCGUAUUCCGUUGUCAGAGGUGAAAUUCUUGGAUUUACGGAAGACGAACUACUGCGAAAGCAUUUACCAAGGAUGUUUUCAUUAA